CAGUAGCCGCGGUAAUACGAAGGUCCCGAGCGUUGUUCGGAAUCACUGGGCGUAAAGGGAACGUAGGCGGCGUGGUAAGUCAGAUGUGAAAUCCCGGGGCUCAACCCCGGAACUGCAUCCGAUACUGCCAUGCUAGAGGAUUGGAGAGGUAGCUGGAAUUCUUGGUGUAGCAGUGAAAUGCGUGGAGAUCAAGAGGAACACUCGUGGCGAAAGCGAGCUACUGGACAAUAACUGACGCUGAGGCUCGAAGGCCAGGGUAGCGAAAGGGAUUAGAGACCCGUGUAGUCCCUGUCUCUUAUAC
rnacentral:rRNA from 1 species